CUAAAAAAACUGAAGGAGCCUCAAUUUUUUCUCAACACCCUCCCCUACAUUCGGCCUAGGCCUUCUCUAAGCCACCGUCGCGCCGCCGCCGCCGUGGCCAACGGCCGACGGCGAAAAAAAUGGGUUUUUUAACCUUCCCUUCGCAGCGUGCUAGAAGGUUGGCCUCUAUCAACCCGCAGGACCGAAAAAGGUCUUUAGUCCCCAACUUUCGGCUCCGACGACGGCGAAGAGAGCACCGACGCCGGGCUUGCAAGGCGACGAGGUGUCAGAGCAUGCGGAGGAAAGGCGGCUAGGAGCGGCGGUAGCCAGGCAUGGCAGAGGAGGCAAAACGGCGUUGGGGCUGGAGCCUGGGCAUGCGGCGCAUGGAGGCUUGGGGGCUAGGGUUUGGUACUGCUGAAUGGGGUUAAUUUUUGGGCUAGGGUUUCUUAAUUUGGGCCUGUUGGGUAUUUUGGGCCACUGUUUAUUUUGGACUGUAUGUUUUUUGCUGGUAUUGGGCUUUAGUGUUUUGGGCCCCGGGCAAAAUGGCUCUUACAUAUAUAAUUUUUGCAUUUUAAUUUUAAUUUUUAAUUAGUUAA